AUGACCCAAUUCAUGGCUUUGGAAGAACAAGAGAAAAUCAUGGUCCUGUGAAGGAAGGAGUCAUCAUUGGCGGCUCUAAGGCUCUUUGGCUUGUUUGGAUUAAUAGCCAGUGCCUGGCCCCCUGGGACUUCCUCCUUCUUCCAGCUCUUUAGUACACAACUCCCCACACACAUACCUGAGGGCAAAGUUUUUAGGAGAGUUUCUCCAUCCUCUGGCUAAGAGUGAUAUGCCAUAAAGAAUAGAUUCUAUAGCUCUGAAUCCUACAAAUCCCCCCCUUCUGACUCUUCCAACUCCUUAGGGAAUAUGCAAACCUCUAUAUUGGAGGCAAAUAUGAAUAGACUAUGCCUACAAUUCAGUGUAGGGCAAAGGUUUCCUGACACCAUAUUAAUAUCUGCCUGCUUUUAAGUUUUUAAAAUCUUCGGACUUGAAGAAGCAACUCCUGGAAAUCAGCUAAUCCAAUGUCCUCAGUUCUAGUUGAAAAUAAUCAGAUGAUUAUCGGACACCAUCUUCCUUGGAGCUUUGUUUCACUAGCGCACACCAUGUCAAUACUCUCAGCCAACAUCAGGAGACUCCAGUUGAGAACUACAUCUCUGAUUUUUUUUCAAGGAGCCCUCAAGGUUUGAAAUUUCGCUUUCUUCCUAAGGUAUUUAUACUUUUUCUCCAAAAUAUAACCUUCAGUUUUUCUCCUGAGUAAUACAUUAGCAGAUUCUUUGAGUUUCAGAAUGUCAGCCUCACCUCUACCUAAGUAUCCAGGUUUCCAAAAUGAAAAAUCUUGCUGGUUACUUGACUGCUAAACUGCCUUCUACCUGAGCAUGUUUUAUAAUGCAGAAACUGAGACUGCAGAUGAACAGAAAUAAGAUUUCUAUCCAUUUUCUUCCAAUUCUUUGGGCCUGAAUGUGUCCCUAUUACCCCGUGAAAUACAACUGAAGACUGAUUACUCUACAACUUUUUUUUUUUCUUUUAGGUAGACCUCCCAGCCUCAGCCUGGCCACAGCUAUCAUACCAACCGUUUAUUGCUGUUGUUAAUUUUUAUAGAUUUAUAAGUUCUUUUUAUUGUUCUGUUUCCUUAAGGGUAGAUACCACAUUUUUUUCCCCUCAUACUCAAAGUACCUAACACAGAGUAAUUUAGUCUAGAAACAUUUAUUGUGUAAAGUUAUUAACUUUUUCUUACUUCUUUAUAGAAUUUUAUCUUCUGGCCCUAAAGAACACCUGAAACGGUCUUCCUUGGCCUAACUGUACAUCCCCGUGCUAUGUGCGUAGAGUAAACCAACAGGAGAAGGCAGGACCUACUUUGCUUUUUGAAAACAAAUGUAAUGGAAGAACCUCCAGUCCCUCAGUCUGUCUUGUUUGCAGAAUCUUUAAAUAAAUAUUGUCUAUCCCAA